UGAGUUAUUUCGAGAAAAGCGGGGAUUGCGCUUUGUACUUUUUCGGAAGUGCAUUGCUGUGCGAACCGCGUUAAUCGAAACGGCUUGAACCGGGCAAAAGUCGUAACAAGGUUUCCGUAGGUGAACCUGCGGAAGGAUCAUUA
rnacentral:rRNA from 1 species